GACGAACGCUGGCGGCGUGCUUAACACAUGCAAGUCGAACGGAAAGGCCCUGCUUUUGUGGGGUGCUCGAGUGGCGAACGGGUGAGUAACACGUGAGUAACCUGCCCUUGACUUUGGGAUAACUUCAGGAAACUGGGGCUAAUACCGGAUAGGAGCUCCUGCUGCAUGGUGGGGGUUGGAAAGUUUCGGCGGUUGGGGAUGGACUCGCGGCUUAUCAGCUUGUUGGUGGGGUAGUGGCUUACCAAGGCUUUGACGGGUAGCCGGCCUGAGAGGGUGACCGGCCACAUUGGGACUGAGAUACGGCCCAGACUCCUACGGGAGGCAGCAGUGGGAAAUAUUGCACAAUGGGCGGAAGCCUGAUGCAGCAGCGCCGCGUGCGGGAUGACGGCCUUCGGGUUGUAAACCGCUUUCGCCUGUGACGAAGCGUGAGUGACGGUAAUAGGUAAAGAAGCACCGGCUAACUACGUG
rnacentral:rRNA from 1 species